UACGUAGGGUGCGAGCGUUGUCCGGAAUCACUGGGCGUAAAGGGCGCGUAGGUGGCGCUCCAAGUCUGUGGUGAAAGCUCGACGCUCAACGUCGAGUCGGCCAUAGAGACUGGAGGGCUCGAGCACUGUAGGGGCAGAUGGAAUUCCGGGUGUAGCGGUGGAAUGCGUAGAGAUCCGGAAGAACACCGGUGGCGAAGGCGGUCUGCUGGGCAGUUGCUGACACUGAGGCGCGACAGCGUGGGGAGCAAACAGG
rnacentral:rRNA from 1 species